UCCUGGCUCAGGAUGAACGCUAGCUACAGGCUUAACACAUGCAAGUCGAGGGGAAACGAUAGAGAAAGCUUGCUUUUUCUAGGCGUCGACCGGCGCACGGGUGAGUAACGCGUGUCCAACCUGCCCAUCACUUGGGGAUAACCUUGCGAAAGUAAGACUAAUACCCAAUGAUAUCUCUAGAAGACAUCUGAAAGAGAUUAAAGAUUUAUCGGUGAUGGAUGGGGAUGCGUCUGAUUAGCUUGUUGGCGGGGUAACGGCCCACCAAGGCGACGAUCAGUAGGGGGUUCUGAGAGGAAGGUCCCCCACAUUGGAACUGAGACACGGUCCAAACUCCUACGGGAGGCAGCAGUGAGGAAUAUUGGUCAAUGGACGAGAGUCUGAACCAGCCAAGUAGCGUGCAGGAUGACGGCCCUAUGGGUUGUAAACUGCUUUUAUAAGGGAAUAAAGUGAGUCUCGUGAGGCUUUUUGCAUGUACCUUAUGAAUAAGGACCGGCUAAUUCCGUG
rnacentral:rRNA from 1 species